UACGAAGGGGGGCUAGCGUUGUUCGGAAUCACUGGGCGUAAAGCGCACGUAGGCGGGUCGUUAAGUCGGGGGGUGAAAUGCCAAGGCUCAACCUUGGAACUGCCUUCGAUACUGGCGAUCUCGAGUCCGGGAGAGGUGAGUGGAACUCCGAGUGUAGAGGUGAAAUUCGUAGAUAUUCGGAAGAACACCAGUGGCGAAGGCGGCUCAGCUGGCCCGGUACUGACGCUGAGGUGCGAAAGCGUGGGGAGCAAACAGG
rnacentral:rRNA from 1 species